GACGAACGCUGGCGGCGUGCCUAAUACAUGCAAGUAGAACGCAGUUUCGAACGGGUGAGUAACGUGUAGGUAACUGCCUCAUAGCGGGGGAUAACUUUUUGAAACGAUAGCUAAUACCGCAUACUUUGAGAUGGACUUGCGUUGUAUUAGCUAGUUGGUGAGGUAAAGGCUCACCACGGCGACGCUACAUUGCCGACCUGAGCGGGAGAUCGGCCACACUGGGACUGAGACACGGCCCAGGAUCCUACGGGAGGCAGCAGUAGGGAAUCUUCGGGAAUGGGCGGAAGUCUGACCGAGCAACGCCGCGUGAGUGAAGAAGGUUUUCGGAUCGUAAAGCUCUGUUGUUAGAGAAGCGGUAACUAAACAGAAAGGGACGGCUAACUACGUGCCAGCAGCCGCGAUAAUAC
rnacentral:rRNA from 1 species